rnacentral:misc_RNA from 1 species
GGAGGAGCUAGAACGUGUAUUGCUUCAGGUUAUUGGUGCAAUUUCUAUGGAAGAAAGCAAUGAAAAAUCUGCUCAGUUAUUCUCUGCUGAUUGCAAGUUGCAGACUAUAACCAUUGGGGCCCAUGAAGCCUUCCCUAAAGCUCUUGCUGUUCCUCAGUAAUAAGCUUUUGUAACCCAAAUGUUGGCGGAUGCCACACCUAUCAAGUUAACAGGAUUUUUUUUCUUUCCUUUUUUUUUUCUUGGGUUAACAAGAAGCAAGAAAGUUUGUGAUGCUGCUUCUGAUCAAGAAUGGAUCCAAGGAAUGAAUCCAUAUACAAGUAUGCUUUAACUUGUAAAAUAUUGAUAGUCUCUGCUUCUGUCUUAAGUCCUGCCAGUAGUAGCCAACAGGGAAAACUCAGCCAAAAAUAGCUCAGAAGCCAGAAAGAGCAAGCUUUCCAAUAUAAUUGCAGAAAAUAGAAAAUUAGACUGCCAUCCAUUUUCUGGCAAAACCUCUGAUUAUGUGAAUUGUUUUUUCACUGUCUUACUAGACUUGUGAUGGGCAGCAUCGGCAUCAAGGAAGAAUAAACAAUUGUGCAGUUAAGAGUUUCAUACCUCUUAAGAUUUGAUUCCUUGAGCAAAAUUUCAAGAGAAUAUCCACCAUAUAUUCUAUGCCCAUUCUUUAACACUUGUUUUUGUAUUGUGGUAGUUCCUGGAAUUUUCCACACAUAUAUUAACCUGCACCUACCUGAGUUUUUGAAAUUCCAAAAUAUUGCUUUGUUGUUGCCAUGGCAGGUUGCCAGACUUCCAAUUAAUAAG